GUCUACAGCCAUGCUAUCUUGAACAUGCCUGAUCCCGUCUGAUCUCGGAAGCUAAGCAGGGUCGGGCCUGGUUAGUACUUGGAUGGGAGACCACCUAGGAAGACCAGGUGCUGUAGGCA
rnacentral:rRNA from 1 species